rnacentral:rRNA from 1 species
GAUGAACGCUGGCGGCGUACCUAAUACAUGCAAGUCGAGCGAACAGACGAGGAGCUUGCUCCUCUGACGUUAGCGGCGGACGGGUGAGUAACACGUGGACAACCUACCUAUAAGACUGGGAUAACUUCGGGAAACCGGAGCUAAUACCGGAUAAUAUAUUGAACCGCAUGGUUCAAUAGUGAAAGACGGUUUUGCUGUCACUUAUAGAUGGAUCCGCGCCGCAUUAGCUAGUUGGUAAGGUAACGGCUUACCAAGGCGACGAUGCGUAGCCGACCUGAGAGGGUGAUCGGCCACACUGGAACUGAGACACGGUCCAGACUCCUACGGGAGGCAGCAGUAGGGAAUCUUCCGCAAUGGGCGAAAGCCUGACGGAGCAACGCCGCGUGAGUGAUGAAGGUCUUCGGAUCGUAAAACUCUGUUAUUAGGGAAGAACAAAUGUGUAAGUAACUAUGCACGUCUUGACGGUACCUAAUCAGAAAGCCACGGCUAACUACGUG